UUCCCUGUAGCUCAGAUGGUAAAGAAUCUGCCUGCAAUGCAGGACACCUGGGUUUGAUCCCUGGUCGGGAAG
rnacentral:tRNA from 1 species